AGCGAACGCUGGCGGUAGGCCUAACACAUGCAAGUCGAACGGCAGCACAGUAAGUGCUUGCUCUUACGGGUGGCGAGUGGCGGACGGGUGAGGUAUACAUCGGACUCUACUUUUUCGUGGGGGUUCACGUAGCGAAACUUACGCUCAUACCGCAUACGCCCUACCGGUGUAAGCAGGGGAACUUCGCACCUUUCGCGAUUGAAUGCGCCGCUGUCGGACUAGCUAGUUGGCGGGGUAAUGACCCACGCAGGCGACGAUCCGUAGCUGGUCGGAGUGGAUGGUCGGCCACACUGGAGCUUAGACACGGACCUGACUCCUGCGAGAGGCAGCAGUCGGGAAUGGUGGACAAUGGGGGGAAGCCUUAUCCAGCCAGACCGCGUGUGUGGAGAAGGCGUUCGGGUUGGGAAGCCCGUUUGUUGGGAAAGAAAAGCAUCAGGUUGAGACGCCGCGUGUCUGACGGUACCCAGAGAAUAAGCACCGGCUAACUUCGUG
rnacentral:rRNA from 1 species